rnacentral:rRNA from 1 species
UAAAUUUAUAUAAAAUAUUUUGNAUGAAAUAUUUAUAUAAUAUCUAACAUAAUUCAUAUUACUAUAUUUUUUAGUAUAUGAAAUUUUACUUUGAGAAAAUUAGAGUGCUUAAAGCAGGCAUAUGCCUUGAAUACUCCAGCAUGGAAUAAUAUUAAAGAUUUUUAUCUUUCUUAUUGGUUCUAAGAUAAGAAUAAUGAUUAAUAGGGACAGUUGGGGGCAUUUGUAUUUAACAGUCAGAGGUGAAAUUCUUAGAUUUGUUAAAGACAAACUAAUGCGAAAGCAUUUGCCAAGGAUGUUUUCAUUAAUCAAGAACGAAAGUUAGGGGAUCGAAGACGAUCAGAUACCGUCGUAGUCUUAACCAUAAACUAUGCCAACUAGAGAUUGGAGGUUGUUCCUUACUCCUUCACCACCAUAAUA